rnacentral:rRNA from 1 species
CGAAUCUUCCGCAAUGCACGAAAGUGUGACGGAGCAAUGCCGCGUGCGGGAUGAAGCGGCUCUGCCGUGUAAACCGCUGUCAGGACCUAGGAAUAUUGACCGGGUCCAGAGGAAGGGCCGGCUAAUCUCGUGCCAGCAGCCGCGGUAAUACGAGAGGCCCGAGCGUUAUUCGGAAUCACUGGGCUUAAAGGGUGCGUAGGCGGCCAUGUAGGCGUCCUGUGAAAUACCACGGCUCAACCGUGGAAUUGCGGGGCGAACCACAUGGCUUGAACCUGGUAGGGGCUGUCGGAACGAUCGGUGGAGCGGUGAAAUGCGUAGAUAUCGAUCGGAACGCCGAAGGUGAAGACGGGCAGCUGGGCCAAGGUUGACGCUGAGGCACGAAGCGUGGGGAUCAAACAGGAUUAGAUACCCUGGUAUUCC